rnacentral:rRNA from 1 species
CUACGGGUUGCUGCAGUGAGGAAUAUUGCACAAUGGGGGGAACCCUGAUGCAGCAACGCCGCGUGGAGGAUGACGCAUUUCGGUGUGUAAACUCCUCUUAUAUGUCAAGAAAAUGACGGUAGCAUAUGGAUAAGCACCGGCUAACUCCGUGCCAGCAGCCGCGGUAAUACGGAGGAUGCAAGCGUUACUCGGGAUCACUGGGCGUAAAGGACGCGUAGGCGGGUUGGAAAGUCAGGUGUGAAAUCCUACAGCUUAACUGUAGAACUGCACUUGAAACUUCUAAUCUAGAGUAUGGGAGGGGGAGAUGGAAUUAGUGGUGUAGGGGUAAAAUCCGUAGAUAUCACUAGGAAUACCUAAAGCGAAGGCGAUCUCCUGGAACAUUACUGACGCUAAGGCGUGAAAGCGUGGGGAGCAAACAGGAUUAGAUACCCGUGUAGUC